rnacentral:misc_RNA from 1 species
UCCGGUUUGUCACCGGCAGUCUCGCAUGAGUCCCCAACUCAAUGCUGGCAACAUGCGACGGGGGUUGCGCUCGUUGCGGGACUUAACCCAACAUCUCACGACACGAGCUGACGACAGCCAUGCACGUCAAGCCUAGGUAAGGUUCUUCGCGUUGCGUCGAAUUAAACCACAUGCUCCACCGCUUGUGCGGGCCCCCGUCAAUUCCUUUGAGUUUCAGCCUUGCGGCCGUACUCCCCAGGCGGGGCACUUCAUGCGUUAGCGCCGGCACCCAGGGGGUCGCUCCCCCAGGCACCUAGUGCCCAUCGUUUACGGCGUGGACUAC